AAUAAUUGUAAAAUAAUUUACUUUAUCUAAUAAAUAAACAGGAAGUAACACUGCGAAUAUACUGGCAACCCACACUCGCGACCAUAAAGAGUGAAUGAAAGGAAUGAAUACAAAUGUCAUUGACAGAUGGUCUGUGAACUUGACAAGACGCUGUUUGUUAUCAGUUCAGUUUGUACACAUUGUCGGUAAGACAGCGGUACGGAAAGGUGUCGAAGUAGUACAUUAAUUAUUUUGUGAUUUUAUUAUUAAAUUAAAUCAGAAAACAUGAGCCAAAAACGCAAUUUUUCUGAUAGCUGUGCAGAAAAAGAAAACGACAACGAUGAUCACAAGGAGACUGAGAGACUAAAAAGAUGGAAUGCAAUAUCUGCAAAAGAGCGCAGGCUAGCACGGCAAAUACACAGAACGUCAACACAAUUGUUCAUCUUAAAACAUAGACUUAAGCGUGAAAUUGAAGAAUAUAGAAAAGAGUGUGAAGAUAUUUUAAACAAUAAUUGAUUAUUAAAUGUAUUAUUAAGUUUUA